rnacentral:snRNA from 1 species
AUUCUUUUCAAACAGGACAGAUACCACGAUCACAAAGGUGGUUUUCCUAGGCAAGGCACACCUAGAGCAGGCUGACCUCUGUGAUGUCCCCAGAUGUGGGAAACUUGGCUGCUUAGUGUGUCAUGGUGGGAGACUGGGUUCCCAGUCUCCCC